CCUCAUAAGGGUGUGUAUCAAGUGUUUCCCAAUUUAGUUCUGGCAUGUUGAGUCCAUGGACAAGUAUGGAUUAUUCUCUUUAGCUUUAGCCAAUUUAGGAGACAACCGCUGUUUUCCUGCACAUUUGCAUAUAGUUUCAGUCGCUAUGAUAGUAAACUUGCUCUCAACGACUCCGAUCUUACAAAAUGUUAGGUCUCCUUAGUUCCAAAUAUGGUUUUACAGGUCUAAAAUUAUUUCUUUGAUGCGAGGUGCCAUGCUGUGGAUAACAUGGAGAUUAUCAAGGCGGAGCGGCGGUGAGUAUGGAGCUCAUAAUCAUCAGUUCAUCACCAUGAAGCGGAAGAAAUGGUAUAGCUUUGCCAUGGUGAGGUUCUCACCUUCUUUGCGAGUCCUUUGUUGAUAUGCUCGGGCUUAAGACUGCUUCUGUGGCAUCAAGGGUAAGGAAAGCAUGAAAAAUGCUCCAGUCGUCUAUUAUAUCUUCUAUGCUUUUUUGUAUGUGGCAUCAGUAUUUAUUCAAUGGUUCUGAUGUUUCUGCACAAAGCUGGAAAUGGAUAGAUAGCACUAUAUAUUAUUAUUGGUUUCCCAUAGAGUAGGUACAUGUAGGUUUCCUUGGUAAUGUAAAGCUGAAAAUAACCAAGGUCUUCUGAAAAUCAGAAACUACUAUACCAGUUUUUCAUGUCUCGGUGAAUCUGGAACAACCUUAAUAAUUAUUCACAAUUGCAUGUAGUCUUUCCUCUGCUCUCGUCCGGUCAUCUCCUAGCUGUCUGUUGUGUGUCUUUUCCUGAUUCGUUUGUCGUCUCGCAGCUGGACUUUGGCAGCCGCCGCUCCUCGGCAAUCAACGGG
rnacentral:lncRNA from 1 species